rnacentral:rRNA from 1 species
UACAGAGGGGGCAAGCGUUGUUCGGAAUUACUGGGCGUAAAGGGCGCGUAGGCGGCCUUCUAAGUCGAACGUGAAAUCCCCGGGCUCAACCCGGGAACUGCGUCCGAUACUGGAAGGCUUGAAUCCGGGAGAGGGAUGUGGAAUUCCAGGUGUAGCGGUGAAAUGCGUAGAUAUCUGGAGGAACGCCGGUGGCGAAAGCGACUCUCUGGGCCGUUCCUGACACUAAAGCGCGAGAGCUAGGGGAGCAAACAGG